GCCUGGUUAGCUCAAUCGGUAGAGCGUUUGACUCUUAAAAUUAAAAGGCUGCGGGUUCGAGCCCCGCAUCGGGCU
rnacentral:tRNA from 1 species